rnacentral:pre_miRNA from 1 species
AAACAGCCCCCUAUGUAUUAGAUCUUUGGCAGUUUUGGCCCCCAAGGCCACUUUUGACUUAGUCUUCACUGACGUGGCACCCACAUCCCUUAAGUGAGGUGCCACGUGUCGACCAUUGUGGGUGCCACGUCAGCAAAGACUAAGUCAAAAGUGGCCUUGGAGGCCAAAACUGCCAAAGAUCUAAUACAUAGGGGGCUGUUU